rnacentral:rRNA from 1 species
AGGUCAAGUAGAAAAGGGCGCAUGGUGAAUGCCUGAGGCACUAGAAGCCGAUGAAGUGACGUGACGAACCACGAAAGGCUUCGGGGAGCAGUAAGUAAGCGAUGAUCCGGAGAUAUCCGAAUGGGGGAACCCAAUACCGCGAGGUAUUAUCAAGAGCUGUUAAGGCUGUUGAAGGAAGACGCAGUGAACUGAAACAUCUAAGUAGCUGCAGGAAGAGAAAGAAAAAUCGAUUUCCCAAGUAGCGGCGAGCGAACAGGAAAGAGCCCAAACCAGCUGGCUUGCAGUUGGGUAGUAGGACUGCAAUAAAGCACUUGAAGCAUAGCAA